AUUAAGGUCCAGACACACAGGCCGGACGCGAUUCGACAACGCGACGCGAUUUUUCAAUUUUCACUGACCGAUAACUUUGAUCCUAGCCAAAUAUUUAGAAGCGUUAUAACAUUUUGAGUUAUCUGGUCUACAUAUCUUUCAAAAUUUGCUCUUAUUGACUUUCAAAAACUAAAAAAUCGUGUCGCGUUGUCGAAUCGCGUCCGGUGUGUCUGAAUCUUAAGU